AUUUUCUAAGAUCUUAUCGAA
rnacentral:snRNA from 1 species